rnacentral:rRNA from 1 species
UACGUAGGGCGCAAGCGUUGUCCGGAAUUAUUGGGCGUAAAGAGCUCGUAGGCGGCCUGUUACGUCUGCUGUGAAAUCCCGGGGCUUAACCCCGGGCGUGCAGUGGAUACGGGCAGGCUGGAGGCAGGCAGGGGAGAACGGAAUUCCCGGUGUAGCGGUGAAAUGCGCAGAUAUCGGGAGGAACACCGGUGGCGAAGGCAAUCCCCUGGGCCUGCACUGACGCUCAUGCACGAAAGCGUGGGGAGCAAACAGG